UACGUAGGGACCAAGCGUUGUUCGGAUUUACUGGGCGUAAAGGGCGCGUAGGCGGCGUGACAAGUCACUUGUGAAAUCUCUGAGCUUAACUCAGAACGGCCAAGUGAAACUGUUGUGCUAGAGUGCAGAAGGGGCAAUCGGAAUUCUUGGUGUAGCGGUGAAAUGCGUAGAUAUCAAGAGGAACACCUGAGGUGAAGACGGGUUGCUGGGCUGACACUGACGCUGAGGAGCGAAAGCCAGGGGAGCAAACGGG
rnacentral:rRNA from 1 species